GGCUGCUGAGGGAUUCUUGAAACGUUACAAAACCAAGCCUGCAGUGGGUUAUCCAGGGGCAGCUGUAGGACCCAGCAGGCAGCAAUGCAAACCCUUCAACAACGUGUGGGGUUUUGUAGUCUGACAGACUUGUUCUAGCCAUUGUGACAGAGGAGGAGUUCUGUGAGAUAUAUAGGAAAGUUUCUUCUGUUUUGUUACCCCUGAACAGUGGUUUCAGCAUGGGGACAGUCCCACGGACACGAGGUUUUUCAGCCUUUUCAAUGGUUUACAGUCAGAGCAGCAGAACAGGGUUCAGUGUUAGGCAGGACCCCCAGAGCAGAGCCAGGUCCCUCCCAGGCAGGCGAAGGACGGUGCUGGAGCUGAGCUGCGUUCAGGAGCAACCUACACGGAUCACAGGGAGCCAGGGACAGCACUCGUGACAGGGCACUGUGACAAUUCUUUAGAGGAGAAUAUUCCAAGCAGCUUCACCAUCAGUUUAAUGUUUCAGAAUCAUUCUGGUAGCAACUUAUGUAGCACUGACACAAAAGAAGGAAGAGCGAAGCCUGUGUGAAAUGUGCCUUCAGCUGGACAUGGAAACUGCUGAGCUGUUUCUGAG